CACGGUCCUCCCCGCCAGACCGUUACUUACCUCUUCCACACACGGCCACAGCUGAACGACUCUUUUCUCCCUGUGUCACUGUUGGUGCAGGGACGUUCACUCGUCACCUCAAGUGCCGCCGUCUGUAUCUAUAGUUUCCGUGUACCUGGACGAACCUCACCUGUUACUCUACCUGACGGCGACACAGGAGAGCAAGACCGUCCUUCAUGCUAGCACAGAAGCAGCAUCAUGCACUGAAGACAUUUCUCCGAGGACCUUUUCACUAGGGUCAUUUCUACACCACCAGGUCAUAUCAAGUCAUCUCUACACUACCAAAUAACGUCAACACCACCAGCAAGUUACUCAACAUUACCAAGUCUCUUUGACGCUGAUUCAAAGUAAACGCAAGUCUUAUUUCCACGAAUUGCUGAACAACGUUUUUGUGUGAUUGUGGUACUAACCGAAGACGCUUCACGGAUCAGCUAUACUUCUGACAGACCUAUACUACCAUGGGUCCAGAUUCAACUCUUCUCGUCUACCUUAUUAUAACUGGUCUGGUGGUGGUGGGUUUGGCUAUGCACAUCUACGAGGGUGACGGAUGCCUUGACUACUGUCCCAAGUCCGUCAACUACAACCCUGUGUGUGGUACUAAUUACGUCACCUACAUCAACCCUACCUAUCUCCUCUGUCAGAAGAAGUGUGGAGAGCCAAACCUGGGCGUGGCGCACUUCUCCUCCUGCGUCGACUGGAUAAUCGGCAGAUUCAGGUUAUAAGACGACCUUCAGGAUGGGCCGAGUGACUGGUUCACUUCAGAAAUAUCCUUCCUUUAGAACCGUUUGUUUUGUUUCACCGACUGCCAUCCCGUUCAAAACUUAUUUCAAUUACUCGACUAUAGCCUUACAAAAAAUGUGGUCACCUUAAUCUUGAGGAUGAGAGCCUUAAGACAACUGAAUUUGAAUAUACCUGAAUAUGACCUCUUUCUUACACUAUACGAGGUAAAAAUAUAAGUUCAGGAUAUGUGCUCAACAUUUUGCUUUCCUCAGCUGGUGUUGAAAUGCUUUAUAUCAUCACUGUUCUGGUGUUAGUGUAGGUGGCGCUAUCUGCACCCUCAUACACUUGACAGAGUAACCAUAUAUCAUUGAUUUAUCAUCUAACACACGCGUGCAGGCUAGUUGUCAUUGAUUUAUCAUCUAACACACGCGUGCAGGCUAGUUGUCAUUGAUUUAUCAUCUAACACACGCGUGCAGGCUAGUCGCUGGCACGUGGAACAGCCUUAAAAUUAAAAAUUAUGGUAUAUAAUCCUUGGAUAAAAUUUUCUCCCAGAAUUAUGUAAUGUGACCGUGUCUGGUUAGGUUAGGUUAGGUUGUUUUGGUGCUUUAGCUUAAAAAAAGGUGCAUUUCAACUUCUUUAGUUACGAGGAAUGUUCAUCUAGAACCUUUGAGAAUCUAGACCCCCGACCUUUAGAGCGAGUCGGUGCGUGUCCAGUGUCCACUGUUGUUGGUGUAUAACUGUGGUGAGGUGUUACGACAGAGUUACUUAUAUAUUUGCUACUUAUUGUUCCUUUAUAGAUUGUCUAAUAAAAUAAAAAUUGAA